UACGUAGGGGGCAAGCGUUGUCCGGAAUCAUUGGGCGUAAAGCGCGCGUAGGCGGCCCGGUAAGUCCGUUGUGAAAGUCAAAGGCUCAACCUUUGAACGCCGAUGGAUACUGCCGGGCUAGAGUCCGGAAGAGGCGAGUGGAAUUCCUGGUGUAGCGGUGGAAUGCGCAGAUAUCAGGAGGAACACCAAUGGCGAAGGCAGCACUCUGGGACGUGACUGACGCUGAGACGCGAAAGCGUGGGGAGCAAACAGG
rnacentral:rRNA from 1 species